CCUACGGGAGACAGCAGUGAGGAAUAUUGGUCAAUGGACGCAAGUCUGAACCAGCCAUGCCGCGUGCAGGAAGACGGCUCUAUGAGUUGUAAACUUCUUUUGUACGAGGGUAAACGGAGAUACGUGUAUCUGUCUGAAAGUACCGUAUGAAUAAGGAUCGGCUAACUCCGUGCCAGCAGCCGCGGUAAUACGGAGGAUUCAAGCGUUAUCCAGAUUUAUUGGGUUUAAAGGGUGCGUAGGCGGCCGGAUAAGUCAGCGGUGAAAUCCGGAGGCUCAACCUCAGAAUUGCCUCUGAUACUGUGCGGCUAGAGAGUAGUUGCGGUAGGCGGAAUGUGUGGUGUAGCGGUGAAAUGCUUAGAGAUCACACAGAACCCCGAUUGCGAAGGCAGCUUACCAAGCUACGUCUGACGCUGAGGCACGAAAGCGUGGGGAGCAAACAGGAUUAGAUACCCGGGUAGUC
rnacentral:rRNA from 1 species